rnacentral:snRNA from 1 species
AACUUUUAUAAAUGACAAAGUUU